rnacentral:lncRNA from 1 species
GACACCAAGUUUGAGUUUGUUUGUUUUUCUCCUCUGUGAGUUCGUUCAAUCUUUCUGCAGAGUGUUACAUUUCCAGCUUCCAUAAAAUCCUAUGGAAGAGCUUCCUGGUAUACUAUUCCUAACUAUUAGCAACGUGCCAAUGCUCAAUGAAAACAUGAACACAGAUAUCAAGAAAAAUUACUUGUCCUGAAAAGGCUGCUUCACCACUGAAUUUAUUCUUUCAUGGCACUCGGAUCAAAUCCAUUUGUUAUCACAGGGAGAAAGCAAGGCAAGGCAAGGUAGGAUGUGUCUGAAACAGGUGAGAUAUCUUUUGAAUGUGUACAUUUUUCUUUACUGAAGAUUUUAAAAAAAAAAAUAGUCGAUAAAGAGACAUUGUAAAUUAUGUAUUUUAGGGACUGUCUUCUGGC